rnacentral:lncRNA from 1 species
CAUAUACGAAAGACAACAGAACUACUUUAGAAGUAGAGAAAUGUUUUGUCAGUAUAGGUAAAAGUUUAAUGCAGGCUUUUGAACAGAUACUUUAAAAAGAUUCCAUCUUGCUGGCUUUUCUUUUUUCAACCAGCCAAAUCACCAUUUAGAUGUUUCAUGCGUUGUAAAGGAUGUCUUGUUGCUUUAAUUUUUUUGGUGGUGGACCCCUGUCAUUGUGAGCUAUCACUGUCAGUCUUACUAAAUAGACAAAUAGCUGUGUAAAUAGCUUCUCAUACGACAUUUCUACUCAUAGCUGUUUGACUUUGUCUUGCCGCUAUGAAUGGGAGGAUCAUUUAUCAACUCCCCUUCUGGGUAGCUACCAAAAAAAUACUGGCUUAUGGUCCCAUGUGACCCUGUCUUUGUUAAGCCCAGAUUAUGAGUGCCUUUAGCAAGUUUUAGCAUUUCACAGAAAGAAGAGAUGAUAGAAUUAUUGCCAUUAGUCACAAUGCAUAAAAUAGGAGCUUGGAAUAACAAAGCUUUGUGUGAAUUCUAUGUUUUACAUCUUUUUUUUUUAUUCAUGCAAUCUCAAUUUGAUAUUGAGUAAAACUAUGUGAUAAUUAAUCAGGAACCAUACAUCCUAAAAAUGAAUCCAGUUGUCCAAGGCUGGCAACGGUCAUUGAUUUUUUUUUUCCACUUUGAUCUGCAUUGUAUUUAUAUGUAGUGAUCGAUAGUGUGAUGGAUUGGGAAGAGCUUGAUAUUGAUGUUUGGAAAAACUUUAUUUCAGUGUCAUUUUCAAAUACUGUCUUAUCUAAUACUGUAGAGAGGAUAGAAUUAUGUAUUUGCACAUGAACUGAAGACUGUCAUGCAUAAUACUUAUUCAUUGUGCUGUUAUGGUUCAUCUCUACAUUUAAAACAGGUAUCUUCACAAAUCAGGUUCAAGAUGUUUUAAAGUAAAAUUUUCCUUACUUCAAUGAAUUUAAAAUUCUAAAUUGCCUGUACUCUUUGAGUCUCUAAAAUGCACUGCUAAAUUAAUUUUACUGCAGAAAUACUAACAU